rnacentral:lncRNA from 1 species
CGCUGAGACACAUUUUUGUCCCAAACUCAAUUCCAAGCAUCGGGUCAAAGCCCUAGGAAAGAAAACUGGAUCUGAGGGAUCCAGAGGCAGACAAUAACAGAAAUUAAAAGGCACAACACAGAUAAUGGAGCUAUUUUUUUCUUUCGUUGUCCAAGUGGAAGAUGUUAAAAAAGAAACCCUCAAUGAUCAGAUUUAUUUGGAGAAGACAAAAAACCCACAACCCAAAGGAUGGGAUUUUACAUCUCAAGACAUCUCCUAGUACAGCAAAACUGCAUUUCCCAAGCUCCUCUUCUCUCAAUGGGUCACAUGACUUGUUCUAGCCAAUAGAACGAGGGUGGAAGUAAUGUGACCACUUUCAGGUGUCCCCUAAAGUCUCCUGUGAGAUCUUCCAAUCUUGCUCUCCUCACUCUGCAUGGCUGGAAAUGAAUACUCUGAUAUCUGAAACAACAUGAUGAAGGAGCCAGGAUGCCUAAGUUCACCACUUAGAGAAGAGACAGCUUGAAGAGUCAUUCUGGAGAACUGGCUGACCAAACUCAUUGGAUUGUAACAGAAUAUAAACCUUUUAUUCUGAUAUGCCAGAGGCACAUUAUGGAUUGUAUUACAAUGACUAGCAUUAGCUGUCCUGAUUAAUAGACACUGUGACAAGAUUCUUUAUUGCUAAAAGAAAAAAAAAGCAAUGGCUGAUACCUGAUUAACAGACACUGUGACAAGAUUUUUUAUUGCUAAAAGAAAAAAAAAAAGCAAUGGCUGAUACCAUUUAAAAUAAAACUUACAAUUAAGGCAAUUCAGUUUGAAAUGUGUUUAUGAAGUUAUUUCAUAGCACUAAUUACAGUUCUAACAAUAUGUAUUUCUGUAGGUGUAUUUUCAAUUCUCUACUAAGUAGUAAGCUCUGUGAGACUGGAAGUUGUACAUGUUUUGUUCUUCACUGCAGAGGUCAUACUCCUCAGAGUACAGGACCCAUGGUGGGAAAUAUUAGCUUCAUGAAUGAGUGAAUGAAUGACUACACACAAGGUUUGAUAAUUAGCAUCCAGAAUAACAAAGAUAUAUACAAUGAAUUAAUGAUUCAUAGUGAGGCUUAGUCAAGUAUACAAAAAGAACAAGAUGAAAUGCAACAUAAUUGUGAUAUUGUGAAGUGUAUACUUGGUCUUCACCCCUGUUUACUGUCAUACACACAAUUCCUAAGAUGCUUGGAAUCUCCAAAGUGUUGUCUUUUUGUAUGCUAAUGUUCACUGAUAGCUUCAGGAUGGAGGUGGUCACCAGAAGGACAAAGGCAUGAUUAUAGGGUUGGAACUUCUGGGCCCACCUCCCCAACUUCCAGGGAGAAGAGCGGGGCUGAAAGACAGACUGAUCAGCAAUGGCCUGUGGUUUGAUCAUAAUGAAGCCUCCAUAAAAACCCAAGUUGACAGAGUUUGGCAAGCUUUUAGAUAGCUGAACACAUGGAGGCUCCCAGAGGAUGGCAUGCCCAGUGAGGGCAUGGAAGCUUCACACCCCUUUCUUCAUACCUUACCAUACACAUCUCUUCAUCUAUAUUCUUUGUAAUAUCUUUUAUAAUAAACCAGUAAAUGUA